rnacentral:rRNA from 1 species
CUUCGGGGAACGAUAACGGCGUCGAGCGGCGGACGGGUGAGUAAUGCCUAGGAAAUUGCCUUGAUGUGGGGGAUAACCAUUGGAAACGAUGGCUAAUACCGCAUAAUGCCUACGGGCCAAAGAGGGGGACCUUCGGGCCUCUCGCGUCAAGAUAUGCCUAGGUGGGAUUAGCUAGUUGGUGAGGUAAUGGCUCACCAAGGCGACGAUCCCUAGCUGGUCUGAGAGGAUGAUCAGCCACACUGGAACUGAGACACGGUCCAGACUCCUACGGGAGGCAGCAGUGGGGAAUAUUGCACAAUGGGCGCAAGCCUGAUGCAGCCAUGCCGCGUGUAUGAAGAAGGCCUUCGGGUUGUAAAGUACUUUCAGCAGUGAGGAAGGGGGUGUCGUUAAUAGCGGCAUUUCUUGACGUUAGCUGCAGAAGAAGCACCGGCUAACUCCGUGCCAGCAGCCGCGGUAAUACGGAGGGUGCGAGCGUUAAUCGGAAUUACUGGGCGUAAAGCGCAUGCAGGUGGUUUGUUAAGUCAGAUGUGAAAGCCCGGGGCUCAACCUCGGAACUGCAUUUGAAACUGGCAAACUAGAGUACUGUAGAGGGGGGUAGAAUUUCAGGUGUAGCGGUGAAAUGCGUAGAGAUCUGAAGGAAUACCAGUGGCG